GCAAACUUGGUCAUUUAGAGGAAGUAAAAGUCGUAACAAGGUUUCCGUAGGUGAACCUGCGGAAGGAUCAUUAUUGAACUGUGUUUUUCAAAAACACUUACUCGAUGGGUUGUCGCUGGCUCCUCUGGAGCAUGUGCACGCCUGUCUUGACUUCAUUCAUCCACCUGUGCACCAUUUGUAGUCUUUGAGGGGUCUGAGAGAGUGGCUGACUUGUCGGGAAUUCUCCCGGAUGUGAGGACUGCAGUGUGAAAGCACGGCUCUCUUCUACCUGGCCAUGAACCCUGCCCCUCGAGGUCUAUGUAUUUAUUCAUACACUAUGUAGCAUGUUACAGAAUGUCUCAAUGGGCCUUUGUGCCUAUAAAAUCAUAUACAACUUUCAGCAACGGAUCUCUUGGCUCUCGCAUCGAUGAAGAACGCAGC
rnacentral:misc_RNA from 1 species